UGCAUAACUGGGUAAACGUUUUCAUAAAUCAACUUGGCUAUUGAGUAUUUUCUAUUUUCUUAGCUUAUUCAAAUAAAAUCAUCGCAAAGUGGUCGAAAGAUUAUUUGAUUGAAAAUGUUUAUCAUAAUUAAAAACUACAUUUAACAGCUGAUCAAAUUUGAACCGGACUAGUCAGCUGUUUAUUUACGACAGAAAAAGUUUGUCUGUGUUUGAGGGAGUCUACACAAGUCACAAGUAUAUGCGUGGUACUAAUGUCGUGAAGUAAUCGAAAACUUGGAUCAUGUGAGCCGUCCAUCCACUUGAUCUAAUGAUGAUAAAUAUAAAAGAGUUAAAGAAACAUUUCUUGCAAAUCGUCGUGUUAGCACCCGAAUCUCAACAUCUCUUAUAGAUAGACUCAACUAUUUUGUAUAAUAUGUUGGGUAAGCAGUGUGUCAACUCUUCAAAAGACUUGAAUCUUAAAAAAAACGACGUCGAGUUGAGGUUGUAACAAAGAUGCUGGACAACGUAGGUGAGGACCCUACAUUCAUCAAACUCGUCAUUACUGUUGACGAGCCGUGGCUUUAUGAAUAUGAUAUCGAAAAUGUUUAACAAUGGUUAAUGAGUCGAAAGCGAAAAAAACAAAAUUUGCCAAAGGCCAUCCCAACCGACUAUUUUAUACGUGAAAUUGGAGCUCGUGAUCUCGUCGACAUUUGGUUUCAACGUGGCGGCGCCACUUCUAACAAAUCGCAUCGGUCAAUAGAGUUAUUGAGAGAACACUUCGGUAAGCAGAUAAUUUCACAUUUUGGGCCGGUCGAUUGACCACUAAGAUCGUGUGAUAACACACCGUUAAUCUUUUUACUGUGGGAACCUGUUAUAUAAAUUCUGAAGUCUAUGCGGACAACCUCGUUUCGACCAAAACGUCUUAACGGAUGAACCAUCUGAGACGUAGCCGCGGCCAACAUUUGAAAGAGGUAAUCUUCAAAAAAUAAAUGCCAAAGAAUGAUCUUUGGAAUAAUAAUAAACAUACCCUACUAAACUUGAAUUUUCAGUCUUUUUUCUUUAAAAAGUAGAAAACCUCCAAAUGGAUCAUCAUUUACUUACUUUGUGGGACUAUCCAGUUCUGUGAUUCAAAAGACCAUUACAUUUUUCAACCCCACGAGGAUAUCAUUUUUCUUCCUAAUAUCUCUGGUCUUCCAGAUAACAUCGCUCUCAACUUUAAGAACACUUCAGAUGAUCAUUAAAUUAUUAAAAUAUUAGUUAUAUGCACUUAUAAAUUAAUGGUUGUAGUAGACAUAUCUUUAUUAUUUUAUUUACAUAUUUUUCACUCUGCGAUCUGAGACGAUGCAUCGCAAGCAACGUUAAUAUGACAUGUAAAUGCCUACUAUAUUAUUCAUGGCAUAGGAAUUAUAAUAUGUAAAAACAGUAUGAAUUACAAGCUUUUUUAACUAAUCGCGUCUAUUGUUUAAGUGCAUCUAGCUAUUUUUAUACUUUUGUUAUUGUUAUUUUAGGUGUAAUAAUGAACGGUUGCUGCUCUGCUUGAGACUUGGCUGCGCUUCUCUUUCCCCUAACCUGUGGAAAUACAAGUUUUAAGCCGACUCUGAAUGCCUGCCGAGAGGGAGAGUGCUACUAGAAUUUUUUUACGCAUACUGUGGACAAAAUAUAGUUAGUAUGUUUGUCAGUGACAUCUGUGCCAAAUGUUACAUCAAUAUAAUCAUUCGUUAUUUGUAUACGCUAGUCUUUCUGAAGUACAUAAAGUGCAAUCGGCAAUUUUUACGAUGAGUGAAAUUAUUCAAAAAGGAAGUUCAAUUAAAUUUUGUGUGCGGAAUCAACGUAGAGAAUUUUAGAAAGACCUUAGGUGAUAAUUGCUUGUCGCGAGCAAGUGUUUUUGAUUGGUACAAAAUAUUCAAAAAGGGUCGAGAACAUGUUGACCACGAACCACAUCCUGGACGGCCAUCAACAUCAACUGAUGAACAACACGUCAAUAAAAUAAAGGAAUUGGUGCUUGAGACGCAACGAUUAAAAGUCAGAGAUCUUACUGGCAUCGAGAAUAUAUCGAAAGGAUCAGUGAAAACUAUUUUGAAAGAUCACUUGGGCCUAAGGAAAGUGAAAGCACGAUUGGUUCCAAAAUCACUCAAUUUGUUCGUGACAAAAGGUGAGCCGAAGCCGUAAAUACCACAUCAAAAAUCAAGAUUGUGUUGAAAGGUGCAUUCCGACCGGCCAAACUGUCAACAAGGAAUACUAUUUGAGCGUUAUGCGUCAUUUGCGUAAAAAGAAACCGGAAUUAUGGGUCGACUUUUCUUGGUUUUUGCAUCAAUCAGGCACAUUAGCAUACCACAUUGACUCUUUGUAAGUCUUUCUCCAUAUUUUCAACCAAUAUCGUAGCGCAACCAUCGUAUCCGCCUGAUUUAGCUCCGUGUGACUUCUGGCUAAUCAGCAAACUCAAACCACCGCUUCGGGGAAACCGUUUUGAGUAAUUUGAAGACUUUAAACAUCAAUCGCUAGGCGCGUUGAAGACCAAUACACUUUAAUAACUUUUCCGCGGAUUCGAAAAAACGUUGGCACAAGUGUAUUGCGGCCAAGGGGGAUUACUUUGAGGACGGCCGCAUAGCUUUUGAAGAAUAAAUUAAAAAGUUUAAAAUUAUGAAGAAAGUCUUACUAUUUCUUGCUCAUAGUAGUACGUAGUUAGAAUAAUAAAUAAAACAAAAAUUCGUUUUCAACCCGCAUCGAGAGCCGUUGUUCAAGCCACUAGUGAAUGCUACUUGUAAAGAUAUCGUAUUUAAAUUAUCAAUUUAUAAUUAGGUCAACACCAUUGACUGUUGCUUGAGCCAGGGUUAAUUAUUAUUCUAUCAGUCCUUACUCUAACUCGAACUCUAAAGCCACAGCUCUGCAUUGCCGUAUAGUGACUCGUUAGAUCUUUUUCGUCGUUCAGGAAGAUUCCCAUAUACUAGAGCAAUAUGGCUGACAUAGGAAUUUCACGAGAGCCAUUUGGCAAAGGUGUCAGUGAACUCCCGAAAAAGAAACUACAUAUGUACAUAUAUCCUGACCCGGCUAAUUGUAAACGCAGAGCCCCAUCGACGAAGCGACGAGUGACUCACUGAGUAAUUUAAGUUAACGAUAAUUCAAAAGCGAAACUGUUGAAACCAUAUCAGUUGCCAAAGAAUAAUUAAUUACAAUAAUCAAACGAUUAAUUUCAGUGCAAAUUAUACAAGUGCACAUGUAUGUUUGUAUGCAUGCUUGUG